GCUUUCCCAACUGCUUGCAGCUGGGCCCUUCGGGCUCUUGCCCCUGCUCAGGGGCCGCUGUCAACCCGUUACCACCCAGUGUAUACACACCGUGAGGCAUUUCUGAAGUCCGUGUGUAGCCAUUGAGUGUAGACCUCUGUCCUGGAGCUGGGAGGCCCUUCGGGACUGUCUGGUUGGACUUCCUCCUCCACAGGGAAGACAGAGAGGUAAACAGGGGAAGCAGUCCAUUCCAGAAGGGUGUUUUCCAAACAUGUUUCUGACUUGACAGAUGUCACACAGUCAGUCCAGAGGUAGGAUCCAGGGCCCGAUCUCUACCUUGUCUGUCUACCCUCAAGGUCGCCAAAGACACACACUUGACCCUUCUUGAAACCCCAUCUGUUUGCCCCAACUUCCAAGGCCUCUCAAGGAGCUGAGACCAGCCCCAUUGUCCAGCCAGUGGAACUGCCACUUUUCUGUGAUCAGAAAGGCCAGAUACUAGAAGCAAAGGCAGAAACAGCGUGCUGACCAUACAUGUCGGGGGUGGUGGAACAUGAGAGGAUGGGUGGGUCCUCAGAGAGCCGUGACUGGUCCCCCUGACUAAAAGCACUCUCUCCAUAUGCCGCAUGGAAAUAAGAUUGACCUGGUGGCAAGACAUGAGAAAGGGCUGGAACACUGUCAACAUUUCAUCUCAAAGGGAAACUUUUCACCCUGGACGGGACCAAGAAUCCGCUCCCCAGGAUUAUGAGCAUCUCUGGUGGUGACUUACUGUAUAAACCUGAAGGGAGAGUUCUACCAAGCUAGUGAGCUCUUGACAGGGCAGGCAUGGUCUCUCUGUCCCUUCCACAUCCCUGUCCCUUCAGCUCUGGAGGAAUUCGAUUCUUCAUUCAUGUAUCAUAACAGGUCACCGCCCUUUGCAGAAUGUGCUUCCUGCCGGUUGUGUGAUUCUGGUCAGAAUUUGGAAAAAGCCAGAAUACAGGGCAGGGGGCUUUGCAGCAUGUCCCAAGACACUCCAGCAGAGGAUCCCUGACUUCAGUAAAUGGCCUAUGACCCUAGACCCUCAACUCCGAUUAAACACCUCACUGAGA